CCUAGGGGUGUCUUCACUUUUGGAGACCCAGUCACAGGGGAGAGGCUCUUCUGCACUUGGGGAAAAAUAUAAGACAUUAAGCUUUGCAUUAAUGUCUCUGGGCUGCACGCCUGCCAGAGCCAUCUCCAGAGUGAAGCCAGCAACAUUGCCUCCCUGCAAUGGCCAGAAUCACCACCAUCACCACCCCCAGCCAGUCCUGGAGUGCCUGCCUCCUGCUGGGCUCCGUUCUAGGAGGAAGGGCCCCGUGAAUCAUCUCUGAGUUACAGACAAGGAGGAUUUGGAGAAGGUGGACCCCUGCACUGGCCGAAAUACAUGGAGCAGGAGGUACCUUAAAGAAGAGCUUCAUGUUUGCACAGCAGAAGUCGUAGGCGCGGUAGAUCUCCUGCAGGACAUUCACGGACAGGGAGAUGCCCAGCAGGACCUCCUCAAUCUCACCCUGCAGGCCUUUCAGCACCUCCUCCGGGCUCAGGUAGGUUCGUGUCUGGACAAAAGGGGAGACGGACGUCCCGGGCUCUCACAAGCCAUCUGGGGUGCAUCUGGGUGCACUGCCUACAGGUCAUUUGCCUGAUUCGCCACAAUCCAUGCAGGGAACUGUGAUGUGUUCUGACACAUUCACUGUUUCCUGGGCACGGGGACCCCCUGCCCGACAGCCGCUGGGAUGUUUUUAGGGGGACCGAGCCACCUCUGUGGCACCUCAUCCCAUGCCAAAGCUGCACAAAAAGAGGUUUGGGUCCCAGAUGAUCAGGAGCCCUCCAGAGACAGAGGACCCACUGCACCCUCUGGUCCUGCAGACGGGCCACAAGCACAAUUUUGAUAUGCACAGGUGGCUUGCUAAGGGAUGUGUGUGAAGGGGGAGGCAGGAGGUGGCCAGUUAAAUCCCAUGAAGCUUCUGGUUGAGCCCCGGGGUGCUGCAUGUCUGGGGCAGAGUCCCCAUGCUGUCCCCUUUCCUUUCUCCUUUUGCCCUAUCUGGAGUGGGUUGGACAGGGUCCAGGUCCUGGGAAAAUUGCCCAGGUCCUGGGAAAAUUCUAGGUGGCCACCAGAAGGGUUCCACCCCAGCUCAGGUCCUAACAACACCUGUGCUGACAGCAUGGGCUGUUUCCACCUUGCUAGGACCCCGUGGGUGUGGGGGGAGGAGGGCAAGCUGCAGGCCAGCAGGGUUACCAUCUCGAUGAUCUGGUUGCAGAAUUCCUGCAGAAUGACAAUGGUCCUGGAGGGUGUAUUGUAGUGCUCGGAGGUGGCCCAGAUGAAGGCUAUGGUGUCCAGCACCUUGGCAAUGAAGGUCGGGAGCUAGGGAGAGACGGGCCAGGCAUCCACCCAGUCACAGUGUCACAGCUCUCACCAGGCCUCCGGGACAGGGUUUCCAGGGGGAGAUAGAAGUGGUGCCCAAGGCCCUUAGUCUGAUCACAGCCCAGGAUGUAACCCCCUCACAUACACACAAAUGGCCACCCCACCCACUGGGCGCACCACCGUGAAGUCGGCCUGCUCCAUCUCCUCCAGCAGCACCCUCAGGGGCUUCAGGUAAAGCACGAUGUCCUCGGCUUCCUUCAGCCCUGCGCACAGGAGAACCAGGCAUGUCAGCUGAAAGCUCCCCUUGCUCCUGGGACCUGCUCCCUUAAGAAGCAGCUUCUGUCUCCAGAGGAGGUAGGGGACCCAGGAAGCCGCUUACAGGGGAGGCAGACACCACCACCGCAGCCCUGCCGGGGGCUUCCUGCCCCUCGCUGGGCCCAGGCCCACCUUCCGUGACGUUCAUGUAAACAUUUUGCAGGGCUGGCCAGUAGCAGCUUUUGGCCUUUUCCAGGAUCUCCACUAUCUUGUUCACUUUGGGCCUGUUUAGCUGAGGAGGAGAGGAUAGCGUCUGCCUCCUGUUGAACCCAUGGACCCCAGAACGAGGCCAGCGGGUCCUCAGGCCCUGGCUCCCUGGGCACCUUGAGGUGGAGCUCCGGGAUGUGGGGGCGGAGCUGGGAGGACCUGGUGGAAGGGGGUGCCCACCUGCUCAUGGAUGCACUUGAGGUUCAGUAGCCGGGCGUCCCAGAACUCAAACUCGACGCGGGGCAGGGGGUUCAGCCCGUCCAGCAGGGCCUGGGCCGAGUCCUUGCUCAGCACGUCCCGGAUUUGGUGGGACCAGUCGAUGAUAAUGGUUUCGAUGGCGUGCAAGAGAGAGUUGUCCAGUGAAGAGGGGAGCCUGCCGGGCAGACAGGCCGUUCUUACAGCCGG